UACGGGGGGAGCAAGCGUUGUUCGGAUUUACUGGGCGUAAAGGGCGCGUAGGCGGCCAGCACAAGUCAGUUGUGAAAUCUCCGAGCUUAACUCGGAACGGUCAACUGAUACUGUGCGGCUAGAGUGCGGAAGGGGCAACUGGAAUUCUUGGUGUAGCGGUGAAAUGCGUAGAUAUCAAGAGGAACACCUGCGGCGAAGGCGGGUUGCUGGGCCGACACUGACGCUGAGGCGCGAAAGCUAGGGGAACGAACGGG
rnacentral:rRNA from 1 species